rnacentral:rRNA from 1 species
AUUGAACGCUGGCGGCAGGCCUAACACAUGCAAGUCGAAUGGUAACAGGAAACAGCUUGCUGUUUCGCUGACGAGUGGCGGACGGGUGAGUAAUGUCUGGGAAACUGCCUGAUGGAGGGGGAUAACUACUGGAAACGGUAGCUAAUACCGCAUAACGUCGAAAGACCAAAGAGGGGGCCCUUCGGGCCUCUUGCCAUCAGAUUUGCCCAGAUGGGAUUAGCUAGUAGGUGGGGUAACGGCUCACCUAGGCGACGAUCCCUAGCUGGUCUGAGAGGAUGACCAGCCACACUGGAACUGAGACACGGUCCAGACUCCUACGGGAGGCAGCAGUGGGGAAUAUUGCACAAUGGGCGCAAGCCUGAUGCAGCCAUGCCGCGUGUAUGAAGAAGGCCUUCGGGUUGUAAAGUACUUUCAGCGGGGAGGAAGGGAGUAAAGUUAAUACCUUUGCUCAUUGACGUUACCCGCAGAAGAAGCACCGGCUAACUCCGUG